UCAAACUUGGUCAUUUAGAGGAAGUAAAAGUCGUAACAAGGUUUCCGUAGGUGAACCUGCGGAAGGAUCAUUAACAAGGUGACCGCCGGUCCGGUCCCCCGGGUGAACCCCGGUGGGACCCGUCCGCGCGGGCAGCCCCCCAACCCUUGAGUACGUACCCGGUUGUCUGGGCGGCGGGAGCCGUCGGCACCCCCGCCCGGAGGAUCCACCCCCGUACCCGACCUCCCGUACCUCUGAAAGGCUCUCUGUCUGUCAGUCAGAAUUCGAGCCAAAACUUUCAACAAUGGAUCUCUUGGUUCCGGCAUCGAUGAAGAACGCAGC
rnacentral:misc_RNA from 1 species